AUAGUACUCCCUCCGUCCCAAAAUUCUUGUCUUAAAUUUGUCUAAAUAUGGAUGUAUCAAGUCACGUUUUAGUAUUAGAUACAUCCAUAUCUAGACAAAUCCAAGACAAGAAUUUGGGACGGAGGGAGUAGUAA
rnacentral:pre_miRNA from 1 species